rnacentral:rRNA from 1 species
GUGGGGAAUAUUGCGCAAUGGGGGAAACCCUGACGCAGCAACGCCGCGUGAGUGAUGAAGGCCUUCGGGUCGUAAAGCUCUGUCAGAGGGGAAGAAAUGCAGGGGUGCUAAUAUCAUCUUUGCUUGACGGUACCCUCAAAGGAAGCACCGGCUAACUCCGUGCCAGCAGCCGCGGUAAUACGGAGGGUGCGAGCGUUGUUCGGAAUUAUUGGGCGUAAAGCGCGUGUAGGCGGUUUGGUAAGUCUGAUGUGAAAGCCCGGGCUCAACCUGGGAAGUGCAUUGGAAACUGUCAGACUUGAAUACGGGAGAGGGUAGUGGAAUUCCUAGUGUAGGAGUGAAAUCCGUAGAUAUUAGGAGGAACACCGGUGGCGAAGGCGGCUACCUGGACCGAUAUUGACGCUGAGACGCGAAAGCGUGGGGAGCAAACAGGAUUAGAAACCCGGGUAGUCC